rnacentral:rRNA from 1 species
UACAGAGGGUGCAAGCGUUUAAUCGAAGUUACUGGGCGUAAAGGGCGCGUAGGCGGUCAUGCAAGUGAGAUGUGAAAUCCCCCGGGCUUAACCUGGGAACUGCAUUUUUAGACUGUGUGACUGGAGUACUGUAGAGGAUAGUGGAAUUUCCGGUGUAGCGGUGAAAUGCGUAGAGAUCGGAAGGAACACCAGUGGCGAAGGCGACUGUCUGGACAGAUACUGACGCUGAGGCGCGAAAGCGUGGGGAGCAAACAGG